GGAGGGAUAGGGUUCGACUCGGAGAGGGAGCCUGAGAAAUGGCUACCACAUCCAAGGAAGGCAGCAGGCSCSCAAAUUACCCAAUCCCGACACGGGGAGGUAGUGACAAGAAAUACCGAUACAGGACUCUUUUGGGUCUUGUAAUUGGAAUGAGUACAAUUUAAAACCAUUAACAAGGAACAAUUGGAGGGCAAGUCUGGKGCCAGCAGCCGCGGUAACUCCAGCUCCAAUAGCGUAUAUUAAAGUUGUUGCAGUUAAAAAGCUYGUAGUUGAACUUUGGUUCUGGCUGGCCGGUCCGCCUCACCGCGUGUACUGGUCUGGSUGGGACUUUCCUYUUAGGGAACCGCAUGCCCUUUACUGGGUGUGUUGGGAAAMUAGGACUUUUACUUUGAAAAAAUUAGAGUGUUCAAAGCAGGCAAUUGCUYGGAUACAUUAGCAUGGAAUAAUAAAAUAGGACGUGUGGUUCUAUUUUGUUGGUUUCUAGGACCGCCGUAAUGAUUAAUAGGGAUAGUUGGGGGCAUCAGUAUUCAAUUGUCAGAGGUGAAAUUCUUGGAUUUAUUGAAGACUAACUACUGCGAAAGCAUUUGCCAAAGAUGUUUUCAUUAAUCAGGAACGAAAGUUAGGGGAUCGAAGACGAUCAGAUACCGUCGUAGUCUUAACCGUAAACUAUGCCGACUAGGGAUCGGGKGGUGUUUCUAUUAUGACUCACUCGGCACCUUACGAGAAAUCAAAGUUUUUGGGUCUGGGGAGUAUUSAAGGYU
rnacentral:rRNA from 1 species